UCAUGGUAACUUGAUUCUGCAGAGAUUUAAUGGUCCCUAUGAGACUGAUUAUGGUGGAGAAACACAUACAUAUAUGUAAUGUGUCUUCUGUAUAGAUAGUGCACUAUCUACAUCCUCCACACUUCCGAUGUUCGCUUGUUGAUUUCUUCCCUCCUGCCUCAAGGAGAGACCUACACAUGAAUUCAUCCCAUCAUCUUCCCACAGCCCCCAUUGGCCUGGAGCGGCGAACCGCGGCCAGUGCGAGCCGCGAUCGGCUGAACCUGCGGAUGCAGCAGAUUCGUACAGUUGGAUUCUAAAGAAGCACACAUUCUAAAGAAUACCAAUAGUACAACGGUAAAUUGGCUGGAUUCAAAAACAGAUUAAAUAACCCAAAACCUACAUUAUCAAGGAAAACAGAGUUAAUAGUGAUGAAAAUGUGAUGCCACUUUGAAAAUUCUAACUGAAGUCACUAUGUUCAACAUGCUACAGAUGACUGAGCUGCCAGCAUAAUAGGAAGCAGAAAAAAAAUGUAAA